CCUUCUUUCAUUUCUCUAUCAUCAGAAACAACCCCCAUUCUCUCCUUUUCUCCCGACAACAUCCCCUCAUUUGUCAAACCCUAACUCUGCCAAUCUCAUCGAAAGCCAGCUCCCUGUCAAUUUCAGUACUCAUCGCCCAUACCUCCAUCACCAUCUUUCCCCUGUCAGGCUACUUGCUUAUUUUCUAUACUUAUCUCUACUCAAUUCAACCUAGACCUAGACUGUGGAGUGCAAGAUUAAUUCGGCUGAUUUUCUCUUCAAAAGUGACAGGAUAACAAGCUAUUGGUUUGAAUUUGUUGCUCCUUGUGAACUCCAACAACUGCAACAAGAAAUUGACAGUAAAAAGGUGGACGUGGUGGACACAAGCUACAGGCGUUAUCAAUUUAGGUCUGAACCUAAUUUCUGUACAAUAUCAGUCAAUUUGGUACAGUGGCGGUACAUGAAUGAAGAAUCUUACUUAGUGGUGCUUUCAAUACUGACGCGCAAACCAAAGGUUAGAAGCGAGAGGAGCGAAGCAACCUAUGUGUUGUGCCUAAACCCGGUCUUAUACCGGUGAUAUUGUUCCUCAACUUUAAUAUUCUUGUCUGGAAUGAUAUACCAUCCUCGCAUGCAAACUGAACUCGAUACUCCAUUAUCAAAUACCCCCAAACCCCUGCAACAUAUAACACCUUUGAACAUCUGUGACACUGGAGUAACUUAUUUGUUAGCUGAAGUUGUUAUUUCACUGUGCCUAUCUUAAUAUCUGCAAAAUACUGUGUUUUUGUGCUUGCACAAUCUUGAUACUCAUUCGCAUAAACCCUGAGUUUUUGACUUGUGUAAGUGUUGUUUGAA